GAUGAACGCUAGCGGCAGGCUUAACACAUGCAAGUCGAGGGGUAUAGUAGCAAUACUAGAGACCGGCGCACGGGUGCGUAACGCGUAUGCAAUCUACCUUUUGCAGAGGGAUAGCCCAGAGAAAUUUGGAUUAAUACCUCAUAGUAUAUAUGGAUGGCAUCAUUUAUAUAUUAAAGUCACAACGGCAAAAGAUGAGCAUGCGUCCCAUUAGCUUGUUGGUAAGGUAACGGCUUACCAAGGCAACGAUGGGUAGGGGUCCUGAGAGGGAGAUCCCCCGCACUGGUACUGAGACACGGACCAGACUCCUACGGGAGGCAGCAGUAAGGAAUAUUGGGCAAUGGACGCAAGUCUGACCCAGCCAUGCCGCGUGAAGGAUGACGGCCCUAUGGGUUGUAAACUUCUUUUGUACGGGAAAAACCUUCGAACGUGUUCGAAGCUGAUGGUACCGUAAGAAUAAGCAUCGGCUAACUCCGUGCCAGCAGCCGCGGUAAACUGU
rnacentral:rRNA from 1 species